CAAAGAGGUUCAGAGGGGGUUCAGUACUUAGAAUUUAAGAUUCUGAAAAAAUUCGCAUCACAAUUUUGCACAAGGAAUUGUCCCCAUUGGUCAGGUUGUGCAGUGCAUGGAAUGAGUGGUAUCAAGAUAAUUUUCCCUUAGGGUGGAUCUGCGGUUUUGAACAUCACUUUGUGAAUAUGAAAUAAAAUGAAAGAGAAACCUGUUUAUCUCACUUACUCAGUGUCCAAAAGGAAAAUGCAAGAGAAGAUUGUGGAUUUAAUUUUCCUGAAGCAAUGGAAUAGCUGAGAAAGUGGAAGAUCACAGGAUACCACACUUGAGGAAAGAUACAAGAAGAGGCCCAGUCUCUCUCUGGAACGUGAAGAACAGGAUGGGAUCUAAGAUGUGCUAAGUAGCUCAAGUGUGACCAUCACCCUAUGCUUGAGUCACCCAUCUGAGAAUUCCCAGGGCAAUGCUCAGCAUCACGGGAAACCAAGAAAUACUCAAAACAUUCUCAAGAUCUGAAAAUGAAACCGAACAGAGUCCGAUUAUAAGUGAGGUGAAAGGAGUAGGAGCAGAGGACCUGGAAGAACCUGUGGCCCGUGAGCCCUCCUGAAGAGUCUGCAAUCAUCACUCCGUUUUCAACCUGGGAGAGUGGCUUCUCCUGCCUGCUGGUUCGAGGAAUCUGGAGAUUUCCCUUCUUCCUAUAGCAAAGCCAGGCUUAAUAAACAUGUGCUAUUUUCUCUAGAAUCCUUAGGU
rnacentral:lncRNA from 1 species